rnacentral:tRNA from 1 species
UUCCUGGUGGUCCAGUGGCUAAGACUCUGCACUCCCAAUGCAGAGGGCCCAGGUUCUACCCCUGAUUAGGGAA